AACGAACGCUGGCGGCAUGCCUAACACAUGCAAGUCGAACGAGACCUUCGGGUCUAGUGGCGCACGGGUGCGUAACGCGUGGGAACCUGCCCUUAGGUUCGGAAUAACUCCCCGAAAGGGGUGCUAAUACCGGAUAAUUUCUUCGGACCAAAGAUUUAUCGCCUUUGGAUGGGCCCGCGUUGGAUUAGCUUGUUGGUAGGGUAAAAGCCUACCAAGGCGACGAUCCAUAGCUGGUCUGAGAGGAUGGUCAGCCACACUGGGACUGAGACACGGCCCAGACUCCUACGGGAGGCAGCAGUGGGGAAUAUUGGACAAUGGGCGAAAGCCUGAUCCAGCAAUGCCGCGUGAGUGAUGAAGGCCUUAGGGUUGUAAAGCUCUUUUACCCGGGAUGAUAAUGACAGUACCGGGAGAAUAAGCUCCGGCUAACUCCGUG
rnacentral:rRNA from 1 species